rnacentral:rRNA from 1 species
UAAGACGAACCGAGCGAACGUUAUUCGGAAUCACUGGGCUUAAAGGGCGCGUAGGCGGGCCUGAUAGUCAGGGGUGAAAGCCCCCAGCUCAACUGGGGAAGUGCCUUUGAUACUUCAGGUCUCGAGGGAGGUAGGGGCGUGCGGAACUUCCGGUGGAGCGGUGAAAUGCGUAGAUAUCGGAAGGAACGUCGGUGGCGAAAGCGGCGCGCUGGACCUCUUCUGACGCUGAGGCGCGAAAGCCAGGGGAGCAAACGGGAUUAGAUACCCCGGUAGUCCUGGCCCUAAACGUUGGGUACUAGGUUGUGGGCUUACGUGGGCUCACAGCCGGAGCAAAAGUAUUAAGUACCCCGCCUGGGGAGUAUGGUCGCAAGGCUG